UUCCAGCUGACGAGUCUCAAAUAGGAUGAAACGCUCGUCCUGGAU
rnacentral:hammerhead_ribozyme from 1 species